GCCAGGCGCGGUGGCACGCACCUAUAGUCCCAGCUACUCAGGAGACUGAGGCAGGAGGAUCACUUGAGCCCAGGAGUUGGAGGCCAGCCUGGGCAACAUAGACUCCAUCCUCCC
rnacentral:sRNA from 1 species